UGGCAGGCUUGAGUCUUGUAGAGGGGGGUAGAAUUCCAGGUGUAGCGGUGAAAUGCGUAGAGAUCUGGAGGAAUACCGGUGGCGAAGGCGGCCCCCUGGACAAAGACUGACGCUCAGGUGCGAAAGCGUGGGGAGCAAACAGGAUUAGAUACCCUGGUAGUCCACGCCGUAAACGAUGUCUACUUGGAGGUUGUGCCCUUGAGGCGUGGCUUCCGGAGCUAACGCGUUAAGUAGACCGCCUGGGGAGUACGGCCGCAAGGUUAAAACUCAAAUGAAUUGACGGGGGCCCGCACAAGCGGUGGAGCAUGUGGUUUAAUUCGAUGCAACGCGAAGAACCUUACCUGGUCUUGACAUCCACAGAACUUUCCAGAGAUGGAUUGGUGCCUUCGGGAACUGUGAGACAGGUGCUGCAUGGCUGUCGUCAGCUCGUGUUGUGAAAUGUUGGGUUAAGUCCCGCAACGAGCGCAAC
rnacentral:rRNA from 1 species